rnacentral:tRNA from 1 species
UCCGCGCGGAGCUUCCGGUCGAGCGACGACAACGGCUCGUCCAGCAGCAGGACGGCCGGUUCGUUCACCAGCGCGCGGGC